ensembl:lncRNA
GUGCAGAGGUGUGGGGGGAGAGACAGUGUUUGUCUGAAGCACCGUGAGCUCCGAUCAAAGAUGAACCUGGCUCUGGUCCAUGACAGAGAGCUCAUUAAGACGUUCUGGGAGAGGAGGAUCGAGACUCAGACUCAGCAAGCUGACAGCGAGGAGCAGAGGAUGAGCCAGAGCGCACUCAAAAAGCUGAGGGGGGAGUGGCUGGUCCGUCUGGAGAACCGAACCAAACACCUGAAGAACCUCAAUGACAACUACAUGAGGAAGAUGAAGAUGGAGCCGUCAGCUGACCAGACCUGAGCCCCCGAUAACUCGCCGUAGAGCUGCUGAGCCAACAACCGCGUCUCCUCCUGCUGCUGUUGCAUCAGAGCCAGCAGUGUCAGGCUGUGCUGAUUCUGCAGCAGGUGUAAAGAUCACUGAGACUCACUCUGAAGCCUCUGACCGCCAACAUGGCGCCAUCUGCUGGACAAACAGGAACAAACCUCGAGGAGGGGCUGAACGUUCAGUCCAGUAAAGGUGGGAACAUGAAGGAGUUUCCGACGCCGGCCACAUGCAGCGUGUGAACCAAUAAAUAAUCUAUAAGUGACCAUUAGUGACAAAACCAU